GCAGUCGAGCGGACAGAAGGGAGCUUGCUCCCGGAUGUUAGCGGCGGACGGGUGAGUAACAMGKGGGUAACCUGCCUGUAAGACUGGGAUAACUCCGGGAAACCGGAGCUAAUACCGGAUAGUUCCUUGAACCGCAUGGUUCAAGGAUGAAAGACGGUUUCGGCUGUCACUUACAGAUGGACCCGCGGCGCAUUAGCUAGUUGGUGAGGUAACGGCUCACCAAGGCGACGAUGCGUAGCCGACCUGAGAGGGUGAUCGGCCACACUGGGACUGAGACACGGCCCAGACUCCUACGGGAGGCAGCAGUAGGGAAUCUUCCGCAAUGGACGAAAGUCUGACGGAGCAACGCCGCGUGAGUGAUGAAGGUUUUCGGAUCGUAAAGCUCUGUUGUUAGGGAAGAACAAGUGCAAGAGUAACUGCUUGCACCUUGACGGUACCUAACCAGAAAGCCACGGCUAACUACGUGCCAGCAGCCGCGGUAAUACGUAGGUGGCAAGCGUUGUCCGGAAUUAUUGGGCGUAAAGGGCUCGCAGGCGGUUUCUUAAGUCUGAUGUGAAAGCCCCCGGCUCAACCGGGGAGGGUCAUUGGAAACUGGGAAACUUGAGUGCAGAAGAGGAGAGUGGAAUUCCACGUGUAGCGGUGAAAUGCGUAGAGAUGUGGAGGAACACCAGUGGCGAAGGCGACUCUCUGGUCUGUAACUGACGCUGAGGAGCGAAAGCGUGGGGAGCGAACAGGAUUAGAUACCCUGGUAGUCCACGCCGUAAACGAUGAGUGCUAAGUGUUAGGGGGUUUCCGCCCCUUAGUGCUGCAGCUAACGCAUUAAGCACUCCGCCUGGGGAGUACGGUCGCAAGACUGAAACUCAAAGGAAUUGACGGGGGCCCGCACAAGCGGUGGAGCAUGUGGUUUAAUUCGAAGCAACGCGAAGAACCUUACCAGGUCUUGACAUCCUCUGACAACCCUAGAGAUAGGGCUUUCCCUUCGGRGACARAGUGACAGGUGGUGCAUGGUUGUCGUCAGCUCGUGUCGUGAGAUGUUGGGUUAAGUCCCGCAACGAGCGCAACCCUUGAUCUUAGUUGCCAGCAUUYAGUUGGGCACUCUAAGGUGACUGCCGGUGACAAACCGGAGGAAGGUGGGGAUGACGUCAAAUCAUCAUGCCCCUUAUGACCUGGGCUACACACGUGCUACAAUGGACAGAACAAAGGGCUGCGAGACCGCAAGGUUUAGCCAAUCCCACAAAUCUGUUCUCAGUUCGGAUCGCAGUCUGCAACUCGACUGCGUGAAGCUGGAAUCGCUAGUAAUCGCKKAUYUUGCAUGCCGCGGUGAAUACGUUCCCGGGCCUUGUAC
rnacentral:rRNA from 2 species